GGCCGCGUGGCCUAAUGGCUAAGGCGCUAGAUUUCGGUUGUCACGAAAUCCUCUAGAGAUUCCAGGUUAGUACCAAACAUCACCGAUCAACAUCAGCAUCAUCUAACGAACUCCCCUUAGGUUCGAAUCCUGGCGUGGUCG
rnacentral:tRNA from 1 species